GAUUUUGAUCUGAAGGCAUCCAGCUAUUGUGGAUAUUUUUUCCACCUCAAAUUUUGAUAAUUGGCUCGUUUUCUUCUUCUUGCUCCUUUUUGAAGCAGACUGCUUCAACGAAGUGCGUUCGCCUGCCGCUAAUUGUCCAGUGGAGCGCCCUUGCAGCCUCCGUUUGCCCAGCGGAGCGCCCAGCAGGCUUCGUUUGCCAGCAGAGCGCCUAGUAGGCCAUUUUCGCCCAGCGGAGCACCCGCGGCGGCAUUCUCGGCCAGCGGAGCACCCUCACCGGCCCUUUCGGCCAGCGGAGCAUCCGUGCAGGCCUUUUCGCCCAGAGAAGCACCCGCGCCGGCAUUCUCGGCCAGCGGAGCACCCCUGCACUGGCCCUUUCGGCCAGCGGAGCACCCUCACAGGCCAACUCGGCCAGCGGAGCACCCUCACCGGCCAACUCGGCCAGCGGAGCACCCCUUCAGGUCACUUCGUGGUCAGCGGAAUGCCUCUACUGGUUACCGCCUGGCCAACGGAGCGCCUUUAGGCGCCAUCUGUAACAAUCAACAGCGAGCAACAAUUUAGUGAACUAUUAUAUGAAUCUCUAAAGAUUCCAAUUUCGAAGUGUAAUCAUUUCAAAGUGUUGUGAAAACCAAACAAUGAUUUAAAUUAAAUCAUGCCACUCUUGCAAUUCUAAACAAACAAAAUCUAAUUUACAUGUUAUAAAAAAAUGAUCGAAAAGUGUAGCGCUUGAAAAGAAAGAUAGAUUUCAAAUAAAACAAAAUAAAAAAAAAUGAAAACCAAAGUGCUGUUCUAUUGAACACAAAUAAUAAAAGUGCGCUACAAAACCAAAAA